AUUGAACGCUGGCGGCAGGCCUAACACAUGCAAGUCGAACGAGUGGCGGACGGGUGAGUAAUGUCUGGGAAAAUGCCUGAUGGAGGGGGAUAACUAAUGGAAACGGUAGCUAAUACCGCAUACCAUCGGAUGUGCCCAGAUGGGAUUAGCUAGGAGGUGGGGUAACGGCUCACCUAGGCGACGAUCCCUAGCUGGUCUGAGAGGAUGACCGGCCACACUGGAACUGAGACACGGUCCAGACUCCUACGGGAGGCAGCAGUGGGGAAUAUUGCACAAUGGGCGCAAGCCUGAUUCAGCCAUGCCGCGUGUAUGAAGGAUGCCUUCGGGUUGUAAAGUACUUUCAUCGGGGAGGCGUUACCCGCAGAAGAAGCACCGGCUAACUCCGUGCCAGCAGCCGCGGUAAUUC
rnacentral:rRNA from 1 species